rnacentral:rRNA from 1 species
AUUGAACGCUGGCGGCAUGCUUUACACAUGCAAGUCGAACGGUAACAGGCCGUAAGGUGCUGACGAGUGGCGAACGGGUGAGUAAUGCAUCGGAACGUGCCCAGUCGUGGGGGAUAACGCAGCGAAAGCUGCGCUAAUACCGCAUACGAUCUAUGGAUGAAAGCGGGGGACCGUAAGGCCUCGCGCGAUUGGAGCGGCCGAUGUCAGAUUAGGUAGUUGGUGGGGUAAGGGCUCGCCAAGCCAACGAUCUGUAGCUGGUCUGAGAGGACGACCAGCCACACUGGGACUGAGACACGGACCAGACUCCUACGGGAGGCAGCAGUGGGGAAUUUUGGACAAUGGGCGCAAGCCUGAUCCAGCAAUGCCGCGUGCAGGAAGAAGGCCUUCGGGUUGCAAACUGCUUUUGUACGGAACGAAAAGGCUCUGGAUAAUACCUGGGGCUCAUGACGGUACCGUAAGAAUAAGCACCGGCUAACUACGUGCCAGCAGCCGCCGUAACAC